CGGGUGGUCAUCAAUCUUUUGCCUCUCGGGCUGCGCCCAUCGCCCUUCCUGAGACCUCAUCAUGCCCUUGUUCUCGUCCUGCCUCCAGUUGGGCGGCACCAUGAGAUGCUCGUGUAGGAAGUCGCAGGACUUGUUCACCAGCGCCGGGUCUCGCCCGGUGGUCGGUGCAAACUUCCGACCCUUCCCCUGGAAUCUGCGAGCCCAAACCAGCAGGUGUUAGACCAAGACACGACUCUUGCAUUCAGGAGAAUAGCAGGGCGGGGGACCUCUAGCGAUGAGGGAUCGUACCCGUCCAAGAGAUGGAGAUGGGCUUCCAAAUUAUGGUAGUUGGAGGGGUCGAGGGAGUCCUUGAGGAAGGGCGAGUGCUUGUGGUCCAGAAGCAGCUCCACCCCGACGUGAACGUACCCGUCCAUCGCCCUCAGCAUGAACUCCGGCAUGUGCUCGUUGAUCAGCACGCCCGGCACCGUGGGCACCUUGUCGUGGACGUUCACCACCCGCAGCACCUUCAGCCCCAGCUUGUCGCACCGCUCCUUGAAGUGCUCGUUGCCCACCCUCGGCCCCCCGUAUGAGAACACCGCCAUCGGCACCUGCUUCCCGUCGGCCCCCUUGAUGAGCUCCAUCUCCGCGAUGUCGUACGCGUUCAGCGUCGCCAGCGCGCUGCCGAG
rnacentral:lncRNA from 1 species